rnacentral:rRNA from 1 species
AGCAGCCGCGGUAAUUCCAGCUCCAAUAGCGUAUAUUAAAGUUGUUGCAGUUAAAAAGCUCGUAGUUGAAUUUUGGGUCUGGCCGGGCGGUCCGCCCUCCGGGUGAGCACUGUUCCGACGCCGGGCCUAUCCUUCUGGAGAGUCGGCAUGUCCUUUAUUGGGUGUGCCGGGGAACCAGGACCAUUACCUUGAAAAAAUUAGAGUGUUCAAAGCAGGCGUAUGCUCGGAUACAUUAGCAUGGAAUAAUGAAAUAGGACGCGUGGUGCUAUUUUGUUGGUUUCUAGAACCGCCGUAAUGAUCAAUAGGGAUAGUUGGGGGCAUUAGUAUUCAAUUGUCAGAGGUGAAAUUCUUGGAUUUAUUGAAGACUAACUUCUGCGAAAGCAUUUGCCAAGGAGGUUUUCAUUAAUCAAGAACGAAAGUUAGAGGAUCGAAGACGAUCAGAUACCGUCGUAGUCUUAACCAUAAACUAUGCCGACUAGGAAUCGGGCGAUGUUAUUCUCAUGACUC